rnacentral:rRNA from 1 species
UACAGAGGUCUCAAGCGUUGUUCGGAUUCAUUGGGCGUAAAGGGUGCGUAGGUGGCCUGGUAAGUCGGAUGUGAAAUCCCGGGGCUCAACCCCGGAACUGCAUUCGAUACUGCUGCGCUAGAGUACUGGAGAGGAGAUUGGAAUUUACGGUGUAGCAGUGAAAUGCGUAGAUAUCGUAAGGAAGACCAGUGGCGAAGGCGGAUCUCUGGGCAGUUACUGACACUGAGGCACGAAGGCCAGGGGAGCAAACGGG